UAGUGGCGAACGGGUGAGUAACACGUGAGUAACCUGCCCUUAACUCUGGGAUAAGCCUGGGAAACUGGGUCUAAUACCGGAUAUGACUCCUCAUCGCAUGGUGGGGGGUGGAAAGCUUUUUGUGGUUUUGGAUGGACUCGCGGCCUAUCAGCUUGUUGGUGAGGUAAUGGCUUACCAAGGCGACGACGGGUAGCCGGCCUGAGAGGGUGACCGGCCACACUGGGACUGAGACACGGCCCAGACUCCUACGGGAGGCAGCAGUGGGGAAUAUUGCACAAUGGGCGCAAGCCUGAUGCAGCGACGCCGCGUGAGGGAUGACGGCCUUCGGGUUGUAAACCUCUUUCAGUAGGGAAGAAGCGAAAGUGACGGUACCUGCAGAAGAAGCGCCGGCUAACUACGUGCCAGCAGCCGCGGUAAUACGUAGGGCGCAAGCGUUAUCCGGAAUUAUUGGGCGUAAAGAGCUCGUAGGCGGUUUGUCGCGUCUGCCGUGAAAGUCCGGGGCUCAACUCCGGAUCUGCGGUGGGUACGGGCAGACUAGAGUGAUGUAGGGGAGACUGGAAUUCCUGGUGUAGCGGUGAAAUGCGCAGAUAUCAGGAGGAACACCGAUGGCGAAGGCAGGUCUCUGGGCAUUAACUGACGCUGAGGAGCGAAAGCAUGGGGAGCGAACAGGAUUAGAUACNCCUGGUAGUCCAUGCCGUAAACGUUGGGCACUA
rnacentral:rRNA from 1 species